rnacentral:tRNA from 1 species
AAUUAAUAAGCUUUAAGCAAAUGUUUUGAAAACAUUCUAAAGAAUAAAUAGUAUUCUAUUAAUUU